UACGGAGGGUGCAAGCGUUAUCCGGAUUCACUGGGUUUAAAGGGUACGUAGGCUGACAUGUAAGUCAGUGGUGAAAUCCCGCGGCUCAACCGUGGAACUGCCAUUGAAACUGCGUGUCUUGGGUACGGUCGAUGCAGGCGGAAUGCAGCAUGUAGCGGUGAAAUGCAUAGAUAUGCUGCGGAACACCGAUAGCGAAGGCAGCUUGCAAGGCCGUCACCGACGCUGAUGUACGAAAGCGUGGGUAGCGAACAGG
rnacentral:rRNA from 1 species